rnacentral:rRNA from 1 species
AGGUAAGCUACUAAGAGCGAAUGGUGGAUGCCUUGACUGGUAAAGGCGAUGAAGGACGUACUAGACUGCGAUAAGCUACGGGGAGCUGUCAAGAAGCUUUGAUCCGUAGAUUUCCGAAUGGGGCAACCCAAUGUAUAGAGAUAUACAUUACCUAUAUAGGAGCGAACGAGGGGAAUUGAAACAUCUUAGUACCCUCAGGAAAAGAAAUCAAUAGAGAUUGCGUCAGUAGCGGCGAGCGAAAGCGCAAGAGGGCAAACCCAGUGCUUGCACUGGGGGUUGUAGGACUGCAAUGUGCAAGAGGUGAGUUUAGCAGAACAUUCUGGAAAGUAUAGCCAUAGAGGGUGAUAGUCCCGUAUGCGAAAAACAAACCUUAGCUAGCAGUAUCCUGAGUAGGGCGGGACACGAGAAAUCCUGUCUGAAGCUGGGUCGACCACGAUCCAACCCUAAAUACUAAUACCAGAUCGAUAGUGCACAAGUACCGUGAGGGAAAGGUGAAAAGAACUGAGGUGAUCAGAGUGAAAUAGAACCUGAAACCAUUUGCUUACAAUCAUUCAGAGCCCUAUGUAGCAAUACAGGGUGAUGGACUGCCUUUUGCAUAAUGAGCCUGCGAGUUGUGGUGUCUGGCAAGGUUAAGCAAACGCGAAGCCGUAGCGAAAGCGAGUCUGAAUAGGGCGCUUAGUCAGAUGCUGCAGACCCGAAACGAAGUGAUCUAUCCAUGAGCAAGUUGAAGCUAGUGUAAGAACUAGUGGAGGACUGAACCCAUAGGCGUUGAAAAGCCCCGGGAUGACUUGUGGAUAGGGGUGAAAGGCCAAUCAAACUUCGUGAUAGCUGGUUCUCUCCGAAAUAUAUUUAGGUAUAGCGUUGUGUCGUAAUAUAAGGGGGUAGAGCACUGAAUGGGCUAGGGCAUACACCAAUGUACCAAACCCUAUCAAACUCCGAAUACCUUAUAUGUAAUCACAGCAGUCAGGCGGCGAGUGAUAAAAUCCGUCGUCAAGAGGGAAACAACCCAGACUACCAGCUAAGGUCCCUAAAUCUUACUUAAGUGGAAAACGAUGUGAAGUUACUUAAACAACCAGGAGGUUGGCUUAGAAGCAGCCAUCCUUUAAAGAAAGCGUAAUAGCUCACUGGUCUAGUGAUUUUGCGCGGAAAAUAUAACGGGGCUAAAGUAAGUACCGAAGCUGUAGACUUGCGCACAACUUAGAUUAUUUAAGUUUAGAAUAUGAGAAACUAAGUUAUAUGUUUAGUUAUAUUUUUACUGAUUUUUAUAGAGUAAAGAUAGAAAUAAAACUUAGUAAAAUCAGUAAAAAUAUUCUUAGAUUAAAGUUAAGUAGUUUAAGUUGUGUGCAAGUGGUAGGAGAGCGUUCUAUUUGCGUCGAAGGUAUACCGGUAAGGAGUGCUGGAGCGAAUAGAAGUGAGCAUGCAGGCAUGAGUAGCGAUAAUUAAUGUGAGAAUCAUUAACGCCGUAAACCCAAGGUUUCCUACGCGAUGCUCGUCAUCGUAGGGUUAGUCGGGUCCUAAGUCGAGUCCGAAAGGGGUAGACGAUGGCAAAUUGGUUAAUAUUCCAAUACCAACAUUAGUGUGCGAUGGAAGGACGCUUAGGGCUAAGGGGGCUAGCGGAUGGAAGUGCUAGUCUAAGGUCGUAGGAGGUUAUACAGGCAAAUCCGUAUAACAAUACUCCGAGAACUGAAAGGCUUUUUGAAGUCUUCGGAUGGAUAGAAGAACCCCUGAUGCCGUCGAGCCAAGAAAAGUUUCUAAGUUUAGCUAAUGUUGCCCGUACCGUAAACCGACACAGGUGGGUGGGAUGAGUAUUCUAAGGCGCGUGGAAGAACUCUCUUUAAGGAACUCUGCAAAAUAGCACCGUA